AGAUUGAACGCUGGCGGAAUGCUUUACACAUGCAAGUCGAGCGGCAGCGCGGGGCAACCUGGCGGCGAGCGGCGAACGGGUGAGUAAUACAUCGGAACAUGUCCAUUUGUGGGGGAUAGCCCGGCGAAAGCCGGAUUAAUACCGCAUACGCCCUACGGGGGAAAGCGGGGGACUUCGCAAGAGGCCUCGCGCGAAUGGGUUGGCCGAUGUCCGAUUAGCUAGUUGGUGGGGUAAAGGCUUACCAAGGCGAUGAUCGGUAGCUGGUCUGAGAGGAUGAUCAGCCACACUGGGACUGAGACACGGCCCAGACUCCGUACGGGAGGCAGCAGUGGGGAAUUUGGACAAUGGGGGCAACCCUGAUCCAGCCAUUCCGCGUGAGUGAAGAAGGCCUUCGGGUGUAAAGCUCUUUUGUCCGGAACGAAACGGUACGUGAAUAUCGUGCCUACUGACGGUACGAAGAAUAAGCAACCGACUAACUACGUCGACCAGCGAAGCCCGC
rnacentral:rRNA from 1 species